UACAGAGGGGGGCAAGCGUUGUUCGGAAUUACUGGGCGUAAAGAGCGUGUAGGCGGCCCGAUAAGUCCGCCGUGAAAGUCCAGGGCUCAACCCUGGAAUGCCGGUGGAAACUGUCGGGCUGGAGUCCGGAAGAGGCGAGUGGAAUUCCUGGUGUAGCGGUGGAAUGCGCAGAUAUCAGGAGGAACACCGAUGGCGAAGGCAGCUCGCUGGGACGGUACUGACGCUGAGGCGCGAAAGCGUGGGGAGCGAACAGG
rnacentral:rRNA from 1 species